ensembl:lncRNA
GUGGGAAGUCUGGAAACGUGAGCUGUUAACACGGAGAUCAAGGAGAGCCCCGGAAAGCGUUGGAAUUUGGUCUUCGCAGUUAGCGUUGCGGUAGCCGGGUGCUCUGCGCUUUGGCUGCGUGCAGCUGGAAGAGGCGAGGUAGCCUGACUCCGGCAGAAGGGGCACUGCACUUCAUCAGCUGAGCAGAGGAAAAUGGAGGCUGAGAUACAGGAAUCUCAUUCGCUGAGCCGUUCGGGACUGCUGCGUUUCGGUGUGCUGCUGUAGAGCAGCUUGGCAAGCAGAACUUCAGAGAGCAGCCAAAGUGAUGGACAACUGGAAGCAAGGCUUUCUUGGGAGCAGAGGAGCGGAGAAAUGAGCGGCGAAAGCAAAGUCUGUGUGAUGGGAUGGCUGUCCUGGUGGGCGUGUGCUCUCAGGAGAGGGGAGAUGGGAUUUUUAAAGCACCUGGGCUGGUAAGCCUGCAUAGUGAAGUCCUUCCUCAGAGGUGUCUUAGGCAGCACAUCUGCCCCCCGGGAAGCCCGAUUAAUCUCCUGCUAAGGUCUGUCCAGGCCAAAAGUAAAACGUGGGAAAGAAACUCCUCCCUGUAGGACGAGCAGCACAAGUCCUCAGAGACCAGAGACUCAGCACAAGCAGAUCUGAGCCCAGAGCUUUGAGGCAAAACACAAGAGCAGCUCUUGCGAAGGGUGACAAGAGUGCAAAGCGGAGCGCUGAGAGCACCUGCCAGCUCUGCUGGGAAAGACUGAGGGCUCUGGCUGUGAACGGGACACCUCUCCCCAUUCACUUGAUUGAGGUAGAUGAGCUCUCUAACUUUGCAAGCAAAUGCACUCCUCCUCAGCUCUGAAACUCUCACACACAAUUGCUUGGUUUCCCUGAUAAGAACAGCCAAGCAGAAGAACAAAGAGUAGUUAUCAGCAGCGCAGCCCAAGGCCGUAUUCUUACAGCAGCAGCCACAGUGCUGUUGCAAGUUUUCAGUCUGUUCUGCACAAGAAGGCUAGGCACUCCUACCGCACGCUGUCAUGCGACAGGCUGCUUGGUGGGGCUUCCCCUCCUGCAAGAUGGUAAGAACAGCUCUUACGACAGCGGGAGAAGAGCAAGAACAGCAAGGCUGAAAUGCCAACAGGCUGAUGAACAUUUUUUCCCCGUGUUACGCAGACUGCUUUGUCUUCUGUGCUCCCCUGCACAGGCAGGGAGUGGGAUAUGCUCCUACCAGAUCACAUGAGAGACUUGAGAACAAGUUUUGCAUCUUGCAUCUUCCAGCAGGAGGAUCUGUUACGUUGCUAAAUGCAGAGCAGUCAGCUGGAAAGCGAACUGAUGGACUUAAAGCAGCUGUAGCAAUCGUAUCCUGAUCCUGUAACGUUCUCCUGUAUGAAUCAUUCAAGCAACACUGACGUGUGAGCGUGUGUAAAAUCGUGUCACAUCACUUUGAGGGGAGACUGGCGAGGUGCAGGUCUGACUUCAGAUACUUCAGCCUUUCUGUCCAGCCAGUGCUGUUGCAUUUGUCUCAGCCUGACAGGCAGCAGCAGAAGUCGGGGCUCUGAUGCAUUUCUGCAUUAAGGCACCCCUUGUUUGUCGUCACAUGAGAUGCUGAUGUUGUAGCUUACUUCUGCACGUGUGGGCUUCUCGCUGAUAUGUAGGUUUCUCUUGGAUUAGCUAUGAUGAUGAAAUAAUGCCAAAGUCAUAUUAAACUGAAAUAGUAGCAAUUUGUAACUGAUAUAUAUGUAUAUGUAUAUAUAAAAUAAAGCUUUAAGAAUGCA